AAAGAACAAAGUAGUUAUAGUAUAUUUUAUUCACCUAGAAACAAAGGGUCGAAAGUCACAGCAUGGAGGUUCAUUUUAUUUUGUAAACUCAUUAAAAAGAUGUCCAUGUACAAAAUAAGGACAUUUUCAACAACAGAACUGCAGACAAAGGAAACUAUAAAAAUUCAAUGCAUUAAUAAAAAGGUUUUAUUUUCUUUCUGCAUAAUUCCUUGCACCUUCCAUAGCAGUGUGCACGCACUCUGAAGUACAGUUGUUAGAAUCAUUAAAAUUCAAGAGGCUGAACAUGAAGCCAUUGCUCUGCUGGAGGAAUGUGCUGCUGAAAGAUCCAAACCCUGGAGCACGUUAACUAAAGUGAGACAAGGCUGAGGGACCUGGCUGAAGGCUGCUAAGAGGUUGCUGUGCAUUGAUCUGCUCACAGUUCCAGCUUGCUUUGCUUCCUGCAGAUACCUGGAACAGUCCUGGGGAGGAGCAGGGUCAGGCUGAGCAGGGCCUGGCCAGAGGUGGCUGCUGCCCUAACACAUCUAAUGCAAAUUAAAAACAUUGCUGCAGCCAAACAGCUGCCAUCCCAGCAAGUGUUAGCUGUGCACCAGUCUGAGCAGCUGCCUGAUUGGGAUUUAGGAUUCACUCCUCAGUCCUGGAUAUUCCUGAUUGCAAGUCUGGAACCCGUGAUACACUGUCCGUAACAGGUCAAUUAUAAAAUUUAAGCUGUGCUGAUUUGUAAUUUAAUUCAUCCCUGUUUCUCACCCCAAAAUAACUCCCAGCACUGAAAACCCAUGCCCUGCUUGAGGCUCCUGUCAGGGUUUCCUUCCUGUGUCCUCAGGGUAGGCCUGGCCUGCAGAGUCAGGGUCAGAACAGCCCCUGUGGGUCCCUGCAGUGCCCUCCAGGUGUGCCAGCCUCAGGAGCCCAGCAAACACCUCCCAUGGGCACAGAGCAGCUCCAGAGCCCGCAGGGGAUGGAUUCAGCUCCCCAUGGGCACAGAGCAGCUCCAGAGCCCGCAGGGGAUGGAUUCAGCUCCCCACGGGCACAGAGCAGCUGCAGAGCUGCAGGGUUCAUUGAUUCACGCCCAGCUCUGCUGUCCCUGGCAGGCCGCAGUGCAAGAAGCAGCCCCUGCCCCAAGGCACUGCCCG
rnacentral:lncRNA from 1 species